rnacentral:misc_RNA from 1 species
GAUGAAGAACGUAGCGAAAUGCGAUAAGUAAUGUGAAUUGCAGAAUUCAGUGAAUCAUCGAAUCUUUGAACGCACCUUGCGCUCUUUGGUAUUCCGAAGAGCAUGCCUGUUUGAGUGUCAUGAAAAUAUCAACCUUGACUUGGGUUUUGUGCUCUAGUCUCGGCUUGGAAUUGGGUGCUUGCCGCUUUUACGAGCGGCUCACCUCAAAUGUAUUAGCUGGAUCUGUCUUUGAGACUUGGUUUGACUUGGCGUAAUAAGUAUUUCGCUAAGGACAUUCUUCGGAGUGGCCUCGUUUCUAGGACGCUUGUCCGCUUUCCAAUACAAGUUCCACCUCGUGGACAUGACUUUUUAUUAUCUGGCCUCAAAUCAGGUAGGACUACCCGCUGAACUUAAGCAUAUCAAUAAGCGGAGGA